rnacentral:tRNA from 1 species
GGCAAGGUGGCCGAGUGGUCUAAGGCGCGUGACUCAAGUUCUCGUGAGAGUAUUCUCGCGUGGGUUCAAAUCCCACCCUUGUCA